UACGGAGGAUGCAAGCGUUAUCCGGAAUGAUUGGGCGUAAAGCGUCCGCAGGUGGCAAUGUAAGUCUGCUGCUAAAGAGUCUAGCUCAACUAGAUAAAAGCAGUGGAAACUACAUAGCUAGAGUACGUUCGGGGCAGAGGGAAUUCCUGGUGUAGCGGUGAAAUGCGUAGAUAUCUGGAGGAACACCGGUGGCGAAGGCGGCAUCCUGGACCGGUAUUGACGCUGAGGAGCGAAAGCCAGGGGAGCAAACGGG
rnacentral:rRNA from 1 species